rnacentral:rRNA from 1 species
GAUGAACGCUGGCGGCGUGCCUAAUACAUGCAAGUCGAGCGAACAGAUAAGGAGCUUGCUCCUUUGACGUUAGCGGCGGACGGGUGAGUAACACGUGGGUAACCUACCUAUAAGACUGGGAUAACUUCGGGAAACCGGAGCUAAUACCGGAUCAUAUUUCGAACCGCAUGGUUCGGUAGUGAUAGAUGGUUUUGCUGUCACUUAUAGAUGGACCCGCGCCGUAUUAGCUAGUUGGUAAGGUAACGGCUUACCAAGGCGACGAUACGUAGCCGACCUGAGAGGGUGAUCGGCCACACUGGAACUGAGACACGGUCCAGACUCCUACGGGAGGCAGCAGUAGGGAAUCUUCCGCAAUGGGCGAAAGCCUGACGGAGCAACGCCGCGUGAGUGAUGAAGGUCUUCGGAUCGUAAAACUCUGUUAUUAGGGAAGAACAUACGUGUAAGUAACUGUGCACGUCUUGACGGUACCUAAUCAGAAAGCCACGGCUAACUACGUG